AAAGAGAAAAAGCAAACCCUCCUUCUUCAAACUCACGUACGGUACAAACACCAAACACUCAUCCUCUCUUCUCGCCGUUUAUCCCUCCCGCCUCCACUUCUGUUGCUGAAGCUUCCCUCGCCGUCGGACCACCGCCAGCCGUCGCCACUGCAGCCCCUUGCUGUAACCACCGUCCGGCAACCGCUCCUCGUGCCGCCGUCCACCUUGCACGUACCUUGGUUGCGCCCAGCCGUCUCCAACCUCCGCAAGCCACCACCUUGCCGCCGUCGUGCCCUGUCCGCCGGCCUGCCCUCUUUUCUCCCCCUUGAAUUGGCGGAGAAUUCUCUUUAGGCGACUUUUGAAAGUGUUAAAGUGGCCUAUCAGUUUGUUUACACAAGUCUCUAAGGAUCAAUAAGCGUUGCCCAUCUACAGGUUUGAAGAUGAUGCAUCAUUGGGGAUCGGGAUUAGAGAGCUUGUAGUUAUAUUUGCUUUAUUAAGUGAUUUGGUUUGUUAACUUAAAUUUGAAAUUUGUCGUACUAUUCGUAUUUCCUUAUUUCAGUUAAUUGGUUUUGGACCUAAUAUGUAAUAAGAUUAAUUAUGAACCUACAAGUUAGUUUUAUGUUUUCCGCUGCAAAAUUCUGAAUAAGCCGUUACGUUUUCACACGGGCGAUA